CCUACGGGAGGCAGCAGUGGGGGAUAUUGCACAAUGGGGGGAACCCUGAUGCAGCGACGCCGCGUGGGUGAAGAAGCGCCUCGGCGCGUAAAGCCCUGUCAGCAGGGAAGAAAAUGACGGUACCUGAAGAAGAAGCCCCGGCUAACUACGUGCCAGCAGCCGCGGUAAUACGUAGGGGGCAAGCGUUAUCCGGAUUUACUGGGUGUAACGGGGGCGCAGACGGCGAUGCAAGCCAGGAGUGAAAGCCCGGGGCCCAACCCCGGGACUGCUCUUGGAACUGCGUGGCGGGAGUGCAGGAGGGGCAGGCGGAAUUCCUGGUGUAGCGGUGAAAUGCGUAGAUAUCAGGAGGAACACCGGUGGCGAAGGCGGCCUGCUGGACUGCAACUGACGCUGAUGCGCGAAAGCGUGGGGAGCAAACAGGAUUAGAUACCCCGGUAGUC
rnacentral:rRNA from 1 species